GGCGCGCUUGACGAAGAAGAUGCUGUAAGCUAUGGGACUAUACCAGACCCUCCCAGGAACCUUUGUCAAGACACCCAGAACCUAUCUCAACAAACCUGAUCGAUUUCCUUAAACUCCGGUUUCAGGACCUAUCACCCACAUUGAGCAGCUCACACCAGUAGACUUAAAGAUCUACUCAUGUAACAGAAUCACCAAUGAGAGGAUGGACAAGUGAGAAGAGGCAUCUUUGCUUUUCCUCUUGAAGACAGAGAGGUUGAAAACUGUCCAAUCCGAUUUGAGAAGAAAGACUACACCACUGGGUGUGAAAAUCCACUUGUGUGAGUCCAAAGGUCAUGUUAGGGCCCCGGGGUUAGGUCUGUUGCCCUUGUGUUUUUACAGAACACCUAGCAAAGACAGUCUAAAUCCCAAGCACGACCUCUGAACCAAGGCUAACAGUAGAAUCUUUUAAGCUUGCAGAAAGAGUUCUCAUGUGAAUAAUGUUCUAAAAUGGUGUCAAUAUGAAAAUAUAAUCUAAAGUUCCUGAACUGACCCUAACCUCCUGAGAAGACAUGAGAAAAAGCCAUGUGUAUGCAAAGAGGAAAGAGGAGGGUCAUGUGUAGACCAACAAUGUGUGACUAUUUAUUGAAAAUUAAGGGGGGAAAAAGUCAACAUUUGCUGGAUACUAAGAUACCAUUUCCUAGGUGAGGUGUGUACAUGCUGCUGUUUUUAGGGUGGUGUUCCCACA